AUGGCGAGGAAGUAUGCAAGGCUGUGACAUCAGCUUUAAUGGAGAUCAAUGAAUACAAUCCUAGUGGACGGUAUAUCACAUCGGAGCUAUGGAACUACCAAGAGGAAAGGAAAGCAACGUUGCGAGAGGGAGUAAGAUAUUUACUGGACAAGCUGGGUAGAAGCAACUAGAAAAGGGGAACACACCCUGAAGCCAUGAUGAUCAAACCAACAUCAUUGCCAUGAAAUAAAACGCACCGCGUUCUAUCGGGUCAGAAUUCUCGUAUGGAGUUAUCUGAUCUUUGUUUAAAGAAAAUCCAAACACAGGCAUGGAGAUGAAGUUCUCUUCUUUGCAAUUAUAUGACGUCUAACCAGGAGAUGGAAU
rnacentral:misc_RNA from 1 species